rnacentral:rRNA from 1 species
UACAGAGGGUGCAAGCGUUGCUCGGAAUCACUGGGCGUAAAGCGCACGUAGGCGGCUUUUUUAAGUCAGGGGUGAAAUCCUGGAGCUCAACUCCAGAACUGCCUUUGAUACUGAGAAGCUUGAGUCCGGGAGAGGUGAGUGGAACUGCGAGUGUAGAGGUGAAAUUCGUAGAUAUUCGCAAGAACACCAGUGGCGAAGGCGGCUCACUGGCCCGGUACUGACGCUGAGGUGCGAAAGCGUGGGGAGCAAACAGG